CAGAGAAACCUGUUGAUGCUCCUCUUUCUCCUCUUUGGGGUUCAGCUUUUGGGAUCAUUGUCGUAGUCGUCUGCCUCGCUGUCUGUAUUUGGUGGUUAAAGAGGAAACAUGAAACUCCCCAACAGAACCCGAGUCAAGGAGAUGGUGUACUGGCUACUUAUCAACCACCGAAUGAAACAGAGGAAACCAUCCAUUACGGGGAGAUCAACUUUUCAGUGCGGGGACCUGAACAGCUCUCUGUGUCAGUGCAGGACAGUGGACAGCAGCAGGAUACACUGUAUGCACAGGUCAAAGUGUCCAAGCCAGCAAGCAGCCGAACACAGCCUGCUGACGGUCCAGAAGAUAUCUACGCUCAAGUGAGGAAAAAAUGAGUGGAUUAAAUUCAUUUCAUUAAGUUUCAUUAUACAACUUUUGUUCCUUUUUUUUUUUGCUUAUUACAGCUCAUGUUUUAUCUAGUUGAGCACAGCGUUAGGUCAGGAAGACCACGGAGUCACACUCUACUAUCAUGCCAGAGUUUUCAUAACAGCUGAUCUCACCCAAACCUCAUCAGCUGAUGGCCAGCUGAUUUCUUUCAAAAGAUUCUAAAAUUGGCCAAAUAGUACUUAUGACGCCUUAUUUUAACUGUUCUAGCCUUCCUACUAUUUGCUGCUCCCUCUGUAAGCAGCAUUUGCAACUCUCCUCCACCCCAGCUCCUCCUUUAAUGCUGU